UUUGAUAGCUCAGUUGCUAGAGCAUGAGACACUUAAACUCAGGGUCAUGGGUUCAAGCCCUAUGUUGGGCAAAA